rnacentral:rRNA from 1 species
AGGCAGCAGUGGGGAAUAUUGCACAAUGGGGGGAAACCCUGAUGCAGCGACGCCGCGUGAGUGAAGAAGUAUUUCGGUAUGUAAAGCUCUAUCAGCAGGGAAGAAAAUGACGGUACCUGACUAAGAAGCCCCGGCUAACUACGUGCC